rnacentral:rRNA from 1 species
AUGACUUCAUGCUUCUCUGAUAUAAUCAAAGAUCAUUCCCUAGAUUUCAUUUGCCUUCAAGAAACUAUGAAAAAAAACUUCCCCCCGAAAAAUCUUAGAAAGAUUGAUCGUAUGAAUAAUUUUGAUUGGAAUUGGGUACCCUCAAAUGGUAAAGCAGGCGUUAUCCUUUGUGGUGUCAGGAAGGAAACCUUAGAAGUAAUAUCCUGGACCUCGGGUAGAUUCUGUUUACAGGCAAACCUAUAUGAUGUUAAGCUCGAUCGUGUUUGGGCGAUCGUUACAGUCUAUGGGGCGGCUCAUGACGACAGUAAAGAUGACUUCCUUGUUGAGCUUGCCUCAAUGUGCUCGCGAAUUCAGGUCCCUUACAUAGUGGGGGUGACUUUAAUAUCUUGCGAAGUAAUGAUGAUAAAAAUAAACCUAUGA